rnacentral:tRNA from 1 species
GGGUCAAUGGCGUAGUUGGUUAUCGCAUCUGUCGAACACACAGAAGGACCUCUGUUCGACCCAGGGUUGACUCA